UUCACUUCCUUGUUCUUGUCACUUUACUUACUUGUUCUUGUUGAGUUAUUUGCCACUCAAUCCUCCGUGACAGACAUCUUGUGGAUUAAUCCUCUUUUACAGCUACAAUGAAUCCUCAAUCUCAGAGUCAGCAGGUUCGUCCAGCUGGUCAAACGAUUCAGCUGUCUCGCCCUACUCCCUACAUGAGGCCUGUUCCAGCUGAACCUUUGACUUUCACUUCCUCACACAUUGUGAAGAAGCCUCUGACUCGCACUUCCUCCACCCAAACUCCUUUGUCUGACCUCGUUGAUCAGAGAACUCAGACUGACUAGGCCUGAUAGCACUGAGUCUGGUUACUUUUGCUAAGUUUAUGAUUGCAAUAAACUUCUUUUCUUGUUUACACUUUUA